rnacentral:rRNA from 1 species
AAUAUCAAAGGUGAGCCAGUACAGGAUGGACCCGCGUCUGAUUAGCUAGUUGGUAAGGUAACGGCUUACCAAGGCGACGAUCAGUAGCCGACCUGAGAGGGUGAUCGGCCACAUUGGAACUGAGACACGGUCCAAACUCCUACGGGAGGCAGCAGUGGGGAAUAUUGCACAAUGGGCGAAAGCCUGAUGCAGCAACGCCGCGGGAGUGAUGAAGGCCUUCGGGUCGGAAAACUCUGUCCUCAAGGAAGAUAAUGACGGUACUUGAGGAGGAAGCCCCGGCUAACUACGUGCCAGCAGCCGCGGUAAUACGUAGGGGGCUAGCGGUAUCCG